CUGCAGACUCUCCUCUUCUGCCUGUGGGCUGGAUCCGCUUGCUAAUCUGAGGGAGGAGCUGGAGAUGAAGCUGGGCCAGACCCCUUCCUCAGUGUCACCAAGGAGAGAAUAGGUGACAUGUGACUGUCAGUCCUUGCACUAAGCUGAUGUCAGGAUGGAGCAGACCCUCCAUACUUCAGAGGAGGCUGGUGAUGGAUGUGCUGCCCCUACUGGACUGGCUCCACAGUCUGUCUUCCCACCACUGAGUGGCAGAGGUGAGAGCCCACUGUGUCAGUCUGUGGAGCAUAUGAAGUUCACACCUCACUUCUGUCUCCUCAGCUCUGGAGGUGACCUCAGCACCAGCGUGCGCAGCACCUAUGCUAGCCUCUGGGGUGUGCUCUGUGUUGGCCCAGCUCACCCACAGCUCCUCUCCCCCUGCAUCUCAGCCACCUUCCAGGUCCUACUGCUAGAAGCUCUGGUACUCUCGGAACCUUAGACUCCUCUCCCCCCAUGAGCUGUAUUGAAGCUUCAU